AACGGCCAUACCAUGCUGAAUAUACUCGGUUUUCGUUAGAUCACCGAAGUCAAGCCAUCAUUGGGCGCGGUCAGUACUUGGGUGGGUGACCACCUGGGAACACCGCGUGCCGUU